rnacentral:rRNA from 1 species
AUUGAACGCUGGCGGCAUGCCUUACACAUGCAAGUCGAACGGUAACAGGUCUUCGGAUGCUGACGAGUGGCGAACGGGUGAGUAAUACAUCGGAACGUGCCCGAUCGUGGGGGAUAACGAAGCGAAGGCUUUGCUAAUACCGCAUAAGAUCUACGGAUGAAAGCAGGGGACCGCAAGGCCUUGCGCGAACGGAGCGGCCGAUGGCAGAUUAGGUAGUUGGUGGGAUAAAAGCUUACCAAGCCGACGAUCUGUAGCUGGUCUGAGAGGACGACCAGCCACACUGGGACUGAGACACGGCCCAGACUCCUACGGGAGGCAGCAGUGGGGAAUUUUGGACAAUGGGCGAAAGCCUGAUCCAGCCAUGCCGCGUGCAGGAUGAAGGCCUUCGGGUUGUAAACUGCUUUUGUACGGAACGAAAAGACUCUGGUUAAUACCUGGGGUCCAUGACGGUACCGUAAGAAUAAGCACCGGCUAACUACGUG